UAAACUGUACAUACUAUAUGAAGC
rnacentral:piRNA from 1 species